AGUGAACGCUGGCGGUAGGCCUAACACGUGCAAGUCGAACGGCAGCACAGUAAGAGCUUGCUCUUACGGGUGGCGAGUGGCGGACGGGUGAGGAAUACAUCGGAAUCUACUUUUUCGUGGGGGAUAACGGAGGGAAACUUACGCUAAUACCGCAUACGACCUACGGGUGAAAGCAGGGGAUCUUCGGACCUUGCGCGAUUGAAUGAGCCGAUGUCGGAUUAGCUAGUUGGCGGGGUAAAGGCCCACCAAGGCGACGAUCCGUAGCUGGUCUGAGAGGAUGAUCAGCCACACUGGAACUGAGACACGGUCCAGACUCCUACGGGAGGCAGCAGUGGGGAAUAUUGGACAAUGGGCGCAAGCCUGAUCCAGCCAUACCGCGUGGGUGAAGAAGGCCUUCGGGUUGUAAAGCCCUUUUGUUGGGAAAGAAAAGCAGCAGGUUAAUACCCCGCUGUUCUGACGGUACCCAAAGAAUAAGCACCGGCUAACUUCGUG
rnacentral:rRNA from 1 species